rnacentral:tRNA from 1 species
GGAGAAAUACCCAAGCGGCUGAAGGGACCAGUUUCGAAAACUGGCAGAAGGUGCAAGCCUUGCGGGGGUUCAAAUCCCCCUUUCUCCG